rnacentral:tRNA from 1 species
GCCGAUGUAGCUCAGUGGUAGAGCACUUCCUUGGUAAGGAAGGGGUCACGAGUUCAAGUCUCGUCAUUGGCU